CGUGUAGACGCUCUGUCUCGCGUUGUAUCGUUUUGCCUGACCUGCUCGUCAUGUCACCCUGUUUCUGUGGAUUUGGAUUUCUGUUUGGAUUACCUUGGUUUUGGACCCUGUUUAUCAGCCACUCUGCCAGUGUCUCCAGGAUGAUUACUGUGUGAGUGAUUUCUACACUCGUUACCAUCUGGGUAGGAGGACUGGCGUACGCAGCCUUCUCACCGCCAGACCAUCUGCAGCCCACAGAAUCACGCAGCAACCCAUGCAUGAGCCGCUGUAACAUAGAUGGAGCAGCUGAGAACCACGAACUUGGAUAUACAUUUGGAGGGGAUCACUUCAUGGCCAGUAUGGGCAUUAGGAAGGAUUACAGCAACCAUAACUGUCUCAGUUUACAUAUGGCAUUUGGUGCUUUCAGAACCUUUCCUUCAGUCCUCCUUGGAGCUCCUUUGACGUCCUGUGCAGUGUUGAACUGUGGUAAUGUCUGCAGCAUCUGUCCUGUUAAAUGUCCGUCUGUUCCUGUCUGUGCUGCCUCUCCCCACUGCUGCUCCUCACCGCUCACGCACUUUGUGUUUGGCAUAUGCUGCCAUGAUUCUCCACACUGUUCUUUUAGCCAAGUGAAAUAAUUGUACAGUUUGUGUGAGUGAUGCACCGUCUCAGCCGUCUUCUCCGAAUUGCCCUUCAAUGUCACACAUAACAUUUUUGUUUGUCACACAGUCAUUUCAGGCUGACUGAAUGGUGUUAAUUCCUUUAUGUAAUGGCAUUACUUCACGGUAUGGAAAGUCUGAUGUCUUUGUCUGGAUCUUACAGAAACACAAUGCUGCCCUGGAGUGUCUGCU